AUUGAACGCUGGCGGCAGGCCUAACACAUGCAAGCCGAACGGUAACAGGAAGAAGCUUGCUUCUUUGCUGACGAGUGGCGGACGGGUGAGUAAUGUCUGGGAAACUGCCUGGUGGAGGGGGAUAACUACUGGAAACGGUAGCUAAUACCGCAUAACGUCGCAAGACCAAAGAGGGGGACCUUCGGGCCUCUUGCCAUCGGAUGUGCCCAGAUGGGAUUAGCUAGUAGGUGGGGUAACGGCUCACCUAGGCGACGAUCCCUAGCUGGUCUGAGAGGAUGGCCAGCCACACUGGAACUGAGACACGGUCCAGACUCCUACGGGAGGCAGCAGUGGGGAAUAUUGCACAAUGGGCGCAAGCCUGAUGCAGCCAUGCCGCGUGUAUGAAGAAGGCCUUCGGGUUGUAAAGUACUUUCAGCGGGGAGGAAGGGAGUAAAGUUAAUACCUUUGCUCAUUGACGUUACCCGCAGAAGAAGCACCGGCUAACUCCGUG
rnacentral:rRNA from 1 species